AUACGUAGGUGGCAAGCGUUGUCCGGAUUUAUUGGGCGUAAAGCGAGCGCAGGCGGUCUCUUAAGUCUGAUGUGAAAGCCCCCGGCUCAACCGGGGAGGGUCAUUGGAAACUGGGAGACUUGAGUGCAGAAGAGGAGAGUGGAAUUCCAUGUGUAGCGGUGAAAUGCGUAGAUAUAUGGAGGAACACCAGUGGCGAAGGCGGCUCUCUGGUCUGUAACUGACGCUGAGGCUCGAAAGCGUGGGGAGCAAACAGGAUUAGAUACCCUGGUAGUCCACGCCGUAAACGAUGAGUGCUAAGUGUUGGAGGGUUUCCGCCCUUCAGUGCUGCAGCUAACGCAUUAAGCACUCCGCCUGGGGAGUACGGCCGCAAGGCUGAAACUCAAAGGAAUUGACGG
rnacentral:rRNA from 1 species